ACAGCAGUAGCCGCGGGAAUACGUAGGGUGCAAGCGUUAAUCGGAAUUACUGGGCGUAAAGCGUGCGCAGGCGGUUUUGUAAGACAGAGGUGAAAUCCCCGGGCUCAACCUGGGAACUGCCUUUGUGACUGCAAGGCUAGAGUACGGCAGAGGGGGAUGGAAUUCCGCGUGUAGCAGUGAAAUGCGUAGAUAUGCGGAGGAACACCGAUGGCGAAGGCAAUCCCCUGGGCCUGUACUGACGCUCAUGCACGAAAGCGUGGGGAGCAAACAGGAUUAGAUACCCCUGUAGUCCCUGUCUCUUAUAC
rnacentral:rRNA from 1 species